GCGUCUUGACGCCGAUAAAAUCUGCGAUCGCGACGCAAAAUAUGCGGCAAGUAAGUCAAUUUACUAUUUUGCCCUUAAUAUGUUUCAUUAUUAACAAGUAUACUUAACCUUAGAUUGACGCUGCCGCAUCUCGAAUUGACGCAGAUUUCAUUUCUCUCGAUCUCAUUUCUCUCGAUCUCAUCUCUCUCGAUCUCGUGCUUCCUCCAUCUCGAGCUCUCUCCAUCUCCGAAGCAUACCCAUCUCUCUCUCUCUUCUCCGACCUCUAUCUUCUCUGGGCUCUCUCGAGCUCUCGAGCUCUCUCCUCUCCGAGCUCUCUCUUCUCCGAGGUAACUGUCUCUAAUACCAGAUAUUGAUUUGAGUCUUAUGGGUUUUGGGGUUGAUGAACUGAUGAUAGCUUUAUGGGUUUCUUUGUUGAUGCUUAGGUUUGUGUAAAGCUGUUGCUCCUCUCAAGUCACUCUCUCGAGACCUUCUCAAGCUGUGUCUGUGUGUCUCAAGCUCUCCCAA
rnacentral:lncRNA from 1 species